GGGAAAAGUUCAUGAGGUGGUGAUGGUCACAAGGAUGCUUUUGGAAGAAGAUUGCCACGCAGUGUUUGCUUUUCAACAUAAUGACAAAUUCUAAAGAUUUGUCUAUUCUUAAACCCACCCAACACUGUUUCAAUUACCAGGACUUUUUGGUAUUCUCUGACACCUGAUGGAGCAAGGCCCUUUUUAUCAUUUGAAAAUGUUGGGGAGAUACUUGCAUAUUGAUAACAAUUCAAAUAAUUUUCUCAGGAAUGGAUGUUUGUGAAAUGGAAAUAUGGAGGCCUUCGAAAUGCUCCUUCCCUGGGACAAAAGCUGUAACAAACUGCUCUCUGUGGGGUUCCAUUCAGAAAAAUGGAUGCACAGCAUUGUCAUUGUCAUUAGCAGAGUUGUAACCCAUCUAUUCACAUACUGACAAAGGCAACACAAGUAAUAUUUCUUUAUGUAACCAUCCAGGGAAAUAGAAUGGAUUAUUUAUGUUGUAUUUUAGGAGGUGGUAGAAGGAGGACAUAAGUUGAAGCUGAAUUAAAAGAAUUUUCAUGUUUGGGUAGAGACAAAAAGAUGUUUGAAUGGAUUACGGCUUUGGAUAAGAAAUGGAGAUCAUAUGUUGAUUUGAAGAUCUCUAGGGCUCUCCAGUCUUAGAGUUUCAGUUUUUUUUUUUCUCAACUAAAAUGGAAUCAUGAGCAGAUCCAGCUGUAUUUUAUGCUACAGAAUUAACCUUUCAUAAAGGAUAAUGUGUCACUAGCUGACUUAUGUAGCUGUGCAAGGGGAUGAUGAUGAUGCAUUGUAAUUCCCGAGUGCCUCGCCACACAUGGGGAUGAUGGUGAUGACGAUGGUGAUCCUGAUGAAGAAGAUGAUUUAUCAGCCGGAAUUCAGGCUCAGCGGUAUUCACCCCAAAUCAGUCCAGUGGGGAAAUAAAGGUUCUGUUGUCACAUAAAUCACAGCAAAGCAGUCGUCUGAGUCUCAGCAAGGGAGACAUGGGUGUGGAAUUCCAAGUGUGGUUUGGAUCCAGAAACAGCUUCAAAGGACCGAAUUCUGAAAGCAUGCAGGGACAUCUUUGG